UAUACAUGCAGUCGAGCGAAUGGAUUAAGAGCUUGCUCUUAUGAAGUUAGCGGCGGACGGGUGAGUAACACGUGGGUAACCUGCCCAUAAGACUGGGAUAACUCCGGGAAACCGGGGCUAAUACCGGAUAACAUUUUGAACCGCAUGGUUCGAAAUUGAAAGGCGGCUUCGGCUGUCACUUAUGGAUGGACCCGCGUCGCAUUAGCUAGUUGGUGAGGUAACGGCUCACCAAGGCAACGAUGCGUAGCCGACCUGAGAGGGUGAUCGGCCACACUGGGACUGAGACACGGCCCAGACUCCUACGGGAGGCAGCAGUAGGGAAUCUUCCGCAAUGGACGAAAGUCUGACGGAGCAACGCCGCGUGAGUGAUGAAGGCUUUCGGGUCGUAAAACUCUGUUGUUAGGGAAGAACAAGUGCUAGUUGAAUAAGCUGGCACCUUGACGGUACCUAACCAGAAAGCCACGGCUAACUACGUGCCAGCAGCCGCGGUAAUACGUAGGUGGCAAGCGUUAUCCGGAAUUAUUGGGCGUAAAGCGCGCGCAGGUGGUUUCUUAAGUCUGAUGUGAAAGCCCACGGCUCAACCGUGGAGGGUCAUUGGAAACUGGGAGACUUGAGUGCAGAAGAGGAAAGUGGAAUUCCAUGUGUAGCGGUGAAAUGCGUAGAGAUAUGGAGGAACACCAGUGGCGAAAGGCGACUUUCUGGUCUGUAACUGACACUGAGGCGCGACAGCGUGGUGAGCAAACAGGAUUAGAUACCCUGGUAGUCCACGCCGUAAACGAUGAGU
rnacentral:rRNA from 1 species